rnacentral:rRNA from 1 species
UGAAUCAUCGAAUCUUUGAACGCACCUUGCACCCUUUGGUACUCCGAAGGGUACACCCGUUUGAGUGUCAUU